UGGGGAAUUUUGGACAAUGGGCGAAAGCCUGAUCCAGCAAUGCCGCGUGUGUGAAGAAGGCCUUCGGGUUGUAAAGCACUUUUGUCCGGAAAGAAAUCCUUGGCUCUAAUACAGUCGGGGGAUGACGGUACCGGAAGAAUAAGCACCGGCUAACUACGUGCCAGCAGCCGCGGUAAUACGUAGGGUGCAAGCGUUAAUCGGAAUUACUGGGCGUAAAGCGUGCGCAGGCGGUUUGCUAAGACCGAUGUGAAAUCCCCGGGCUCAACCUGGGAACUGCAUUGGUGACUGGCAGGCUAGAGUAUGGCAGAGGGGGGUAGAAUUCCACGUGUAGCAGUGGAAUGCGUAGAGAUGUGGAGGAAUACCGAUGGCGAAGGCAGCCCCCUGGGCCAAUACUGACGCUCAUGCACGAAAGCGUGGGGAGCAAACAGGAUUAGAUACCCUGGUAGUCCACGCCCUAAACGAUGUCAACUAGUUGUUGGGGAUUCAUUUCCUUAGUAACGUAGCUAUCGCGUGAAGUUGACCGCCUGGGGAGUACGGUUGCAAGAUUAAAACUCAAAGGAAUUGACGGGGUCAUAGCUGUUUCCU
rnacentral:rRNA from 1 species